UCCAUUCUUGCUGUCAACUCUGCUAAGAUUUUUGUAUUUGGAAUUCAUGGUAUUGAAUAAGAAAGCCAUGUUGAAUGGUCUUUAGAUUACAAAUACCAAGACCUCCUUGGUGCAGGGAGGGAUUUCUGAGAUAUGAGCAUGUGCACUCUUGCACUAUCACCACUGAUCCUUACAGGGUAACCUCUGUUCUACUCCCACCUCAAGCCAAUUAGCUGAAGAAACUCACUUGGAAAAGUAAUUCUCCAGGUGCAGUUGAGGCAACAACCUGCAAGAGCAGAGGAGUCGUGCAUCAUAAUCUGGAAGUGGCAAAAUUCAGCCUGGCCUUGGUGGAAGCAAAUUACACAGCCUCGCGUCCUCCACCAAAAAUGUUUUUCUCCCAGACAUUGUGAAUUUUAGGAGUAUUCAGAUCUGAGAUCUUAGCCCAGGUCACAUAUCAGUGUUAAAUAGAUGAUUAAUAAAUAGCUGCAUAUUCUUGUACUGUUUAAAUGAAGGGAAAAAACCCUCAAACUAAUUUAAAGGAUUAACAAAAAGAAAUUAGAAACGCUACAGUAUUCUGAAAUAGAUGUAAAUGCCAAAUAUCGUCACAAAGGGAAAAUAAAUAGAAAGAAUACCAAGGUGAAUAUGAAAUAAUUCUGUUGACCGACAGUAAUUAUUGUAGAUAUUUAUAUUUGGUUUUCACACGUGACUGCUACAAAUGCCCAUAAAUAUGAAAAAAUAUUAUUUGUAUUAUAGCAGAGCCCACAAGAUGCAUGUACACAUAAUGUAUAUAACAUGAAAUCACAUAAAACAGUAAAAACACUUCUUUAAUUCAGAGUAUGAGAUAUGUAAAAAAGUGAAAUAUAACAGGAAACAAUGCCUGCCAACACAAACAAAAAUGAACAAAAUAGCCUGGAGUGGGGCUGUAAAGUAUCAGGAAGUUCUCAUUUAAACAAUGUGGAAAUAGCCAAAUAAAGGUAAGCAAAUGGUGGAAAACAUGCUUGGAAAGCAUGGCAAUAAAAGAUGAUGGGGGAAAUAUAAAAUCCUCUGUUCAGAUCUCACUGCAAAUAUCAAGACUUCCAGUUAGUAUUACAAAAAGCAAGCAUGACAGCACUGAAAGGGACAGCAGAGAAAUGACUCCACCAACCAGUGGUUCUAGAGCUUUAUCAGCUAUGUGGAACAACAGUAAGCACAAUUGCUUAAUAGAUAAGUUUCAUGUUUGGAGCAAGGACAGAUGAAAAUGUUAAAAUUAUUCAUACUAAAUUAUUUGCUUAAAUAUAUUAAAAUUGCCCAUCUGAAGAAUGAUAAACAAAUAGUACUUCAUACAUCUGGGUAAGAAAAGUGAGGCCAACACAGUAAAUUUUAAUUUUUCUUUGUUUAGUUUGCAUUACAAAAUUACUAAUAUACACUUAAUUAAAGCAUAACACUUAUGAUGGUGCUCACUUGGAGGAUGAGGCACUCUAUGAAAACACUUUAAAAGAGGCUAGUAGCACAGUAGUAAACCAAGUAUUUUGUUUGCAUCAGCAUUAUUGACUUCUAGAAUAAUUUAAACAAUAAAAAAAAGUAGUCAUUCCUAACUCCAAUGAAGUAAGAAACAGUGAAUGAGUGUGCACACAAGUGUAUCUGGCAGCCAAAUACUGAAGUGAGAGAAUGCACCUUUUCCCCCAGGUUUCCACCAGGUAAAGGUUUUCUUUAAGCAAAAUCCUUAGGUUUUUGAAGCAAGAGAAUUUAAAUGAUGCCCCUCAUGUAACACGUACACUACAGCUCUAUUGAGUUGAUAGUGGAUUUAACAGUGAUUGAGAUUAACGAAGUGAUGGGGAUACUGAAAAGCACAGCAUGUACUAAUUUAUUUGGAAAAAAAGUUUCACUCCUUACAUAUUCCUCUACAGGUUAUUUUUAGUUAUCUUCAUUG